GAUGAACGCUGGCGGCGUGCCUAAUACAUGCAAGUCGAGCGAACAGACGAGGAGCUUGCUCCUCUGACGUUAGCGGCGGACGGGUGAGUAACACGUGGAUAACCUACCUAUAAGACUGGGAUAACUUCGGGAAACCGGAGCUAAUACCGGAUAAUAUAUUGAACCGCAUGGUUCAAUAGUGAAAGACGGUUUUGCUGUCACUUAUAGAUGGAUCCGCGCCGCAUUAGCUAGUUGGUAAGGUAACGGCUUACCAAGGCAGCGAUGCGUAGCCGACCUGAGAGGGUGAUCGGCCACACUGGAACUGAGACACGGUCCAGACUCCUACGGGAGGCAGCAGUAGGGAAUCUUCCGCAAUGGGCGAAAGCCUGACGGAGCAACGCCGCGUGAGUGAUGAGGGUCUUCGGAUCGUAAAACUCUGUUAUUAGGGAAGAACAAAUGUGUAAGUAACUAUGCACGUCUUGACGGUACCUAAUCAGAAAGCCACGGCUAACUACGUG
rnacentral:rRNA from 1 species